AUGAAGUCCUGCCAAUGUUGGAGUCAUUGUGCACCACUCUUUUAUUUUCUCCCUGUCGGGAAAGAAAGCACUUGUGUCGCACUGUGUCUCCGAUGCUGCUGUCACAAGUUUCACGCGAUCGAGGCCGUGAAAAAAGCCGCUGAAGCUCCCACCCAUGGACGCAUCCAGAGUUAUUCUUUCCCCCUCUCACAAGGAAAAAGCCUUCCUUCCCUCGAUCUCCACCGACGAGCCCAUGAAUUCGUCUCCCCUCCGCCUGCCACUCCGGCGGCCGGUGGCGGGGAGGGGACUUUAGUGCCUUGUUUCCGGCUAGGAACAACCAGCGGCAGCAUAACCAUUACGUUUCAAAAUCUGGUCACUCGCAGGAGGACCCCAGUUCUUAUUCCUCUUUUUGAGAAAGGGGUGCUACACAACCAGUUGCCGUUUACUGUCCACAUUCCACAGGCAACAAAUCUUAGAAAAGCACAGAGUGUUCCCGUUGUCGAUGUGGUUGUUGUUGCCACAGUGAAGCGCAGGUCCAUCAACGAUGCUGACCCGCACGAACAACAAAGCAUUCAGGGAGGAUCGAGAAGCAAAGGCAGCUUUGAUCGGGCCUUAGGAGCCCCAUGGCUAAUCGCCCUCUCAAAUCUCAACCAGCAUGACCGACUCCUGGAUCUCAGUGAUCUACUCAUGCCAAGCCUGAGGCACAAUGAACAUGAAGAUCGGCAAGCCCCGACACUCCUGAAGAAGGCAGCAGCUAUGUGCAAGAGCAAGACUGGCGUCUUCAUGGCCAGGCUCCCUGUCCUCGCCUCGCUCCUUCGCAGGAUGGCCACAGUCAGCGCCAUUUCUCACAUGGUCCAUGCCCUCAUUGUCAUUGUGGCGGAGAAGGGUGCCAAAGUGGACUCUGAUGCUCUGCAAGGUCGAGAAGGCGACCUGCCAUGGUGGGACGGUGAGGAUUUCUUUUACACUGGUGAGUACGACAGUUAUGGUGAUGAUGGAUACCAGCCUUCGGUGAUGAAUACAAUGAGGAGCAACCAGGAGGUUGGAGGUUGGAAUUCAACAUGGACGACGAUAUUGACCAGGCUGCCGAAAUGUUCAUCAGAAGGUUCCGUGAGCAGAUGA
rnacentral:rRNA from 1 species